rnacentral:rRNA from 1 species
UGGGGAAUUUUGCACAAUGGGGGAAACCCUGAUGCAGCGACGCCGCGUGAUUUAGAAGGCCUUCGGGUUGUAAAAAUCUUUUCUAUGGGAAGAAAAUGACAGUACCAUAGGAAUAAGGACCGGCUAAUUACGUGCCAGCAGCCGCGGUAAUACGUAAGGUCCGAGCGUUGUCCGGUAUCAUUGGGCGUAAAGGGUACGUAGGCGGGUAAGCAAGUUAGAAGUGAAAUCCUAUAGCUCAACUAUAGUAAGCUUUUAAAACUGCUCAUCUUGAGGUAUGGAAGGGAAAGUGGAAUUCCUAGUGUAGCGGUGAAAUGCGCAGAUAUUAGGUGGAAUACCGGUGGCGAAGGCGACUUUCUGGCCAUAACCUGACGCUGAGGUACGAAAGCGUGGGUAGCAAACAGG